CCUUCGAUAGCUCAGUUGGUAGAGCAGAGGACUGUAAAUCCUUCGGUCACUGGUUCAAAACCAGCUCAAAGGA